rnacentral:rRNA from 1 species
UACGGGGGGAGCAAGCGUUGUUCGGAUUUACUGGGCGUAAAGGGCGCGUAGGCGGCUUGACAAGUCACUUGUGAAAUCUCCGGGCUUAACUCGGAACGGUCAAGUGAUACUGUCGUGCUAGAGUACAGAAGGGGCAACUGGAAUUCUCGGUGUAGCGGUGAAAUGCGUAGAUAUCGAGAGGAACACCUGCGGCGAAGCCGGGUUGCUGGGCUGAUACUGACGCUGAGGCGCGAAAGCCAGGGGAGCGAACGGG